UACUGUAGUAUAUUGUAGUCUAUUGUAGUAUAUUGUAGUCUACUGUAGUCUACUGUAGUAUAUUGUAGUAUAUUGU